rnacentral:rRNA from 1 species
CAUGAAGCUGGAAUCGCUAGUAAUCGCGGAUCAGAAUGCCGCGGUGAAUACGUUCCCGGGUCUUGUACACACCGCCCGUCACACCAUGGGAGUCGGAAAUGCCCGGAGUCUGUGACCUAACCGUAGGGGAGGAGCAGCCGAAGGCAGGUCGGAUGACUGGGGUGAAGUCGUAACAAGGUAUC